UCGCUUAUGGGAAAGCUCUUUGAAACCCCCGUAAUAACAUAACCCAGAAAAAGCCGUGUGCCGUGCACCAGCGGGUGCAGUACCUCCAAGGGGCCGGUAAAGCAAGGCCAGCUGGCAAUGGGGAAGCAGCAGAUCCUGCAGCAAAUGCUCCCCCUUCUGUACACUGCCGGCUAAGCCGGCGGUACACGGGCUUGUUCACUGCGAUGCCGACGGAUGACAGCAGAGGCUGUCUUGCAGCAGGUUCAGGCACUUGAUGAAGGGAGUGUAGCCAGCACAGGACAUUACCUGAUUGAACCAAACUGUGAAGUUAUUUUGGGUACUGGAUUAAACGGACGUGGAAAGUCGAAGGAACAGAAGCAAAAGAGCUAAGUGCAAAGCCUCACCUCUGAGUGUUUUAUGGAAGCCGUGCACGUACAACUGCAGCCUGGGGUUUGCCAUGGGCCCACAGCUCCUUCCUGGCAGCAACAGCAGCACUGGCACUGGAGAAAAACCAAGUUGCAGCGUGGCGAGUCCCAGCGCACCUGCUGGCGGGCCUGUCUCAAAGCCCUGGCGUCCUCUGUGAAGGAGUGUGAGGAAUGACUGAAGUGUUAAAUAAGGACAUCAGUAAGCGUGGCCGUUCCCUGCAGGCUGCUGGGAGCCGCGUGGAGAAGAAGGCAGCGCUGUCUUUUGUGAAAUGGCACAAAGAAAAUAAACAUAACUGCAAUGCAACUUCCGGCAAAUAUUUUUAUAUCUUUAUCUUUAGCUAGAUCGCAGCUCGUGAUGUCCUGCUGCUGCCAUUUAUGCUCUGAAUGUAUGAUACUUAAAUCUUUGACAUUUGGGACAGCUUUUCCUGAGUGUAUACGUAUGAGGAGGUGGUGGGGUCGUUUUGUUCUGGGGUGUUGCUUUCCUUCCUCCCCCUCCACCCUAGCUCUGGUUUAUCUCAAGUCAGAAAUAGUUUUCCUAAAUGCCAGGCCUGAAAACUUGUCCUGGGCUCCGGUGGUCACUCUUCCACAUUUCUUCUUCCCUCUUCCUGUGUCAUUACCUCCCUAAAGAUUAUGUUGCCCCAAAGGCAGCCCUCUUGCAGGGCAGCAUCCCUGGGAUGCCAGCUGGCUGUGCUGGGCAGCAUGUAGCCAACACAAUCAUUUUGGAAUACAUGGUCAAAUAAAUCAUGGUAUGAGGAACACCCGGCUAUGUGUAACCUAGGAAUGCUAGAUUACAGAAGCAGACUUCGUUUUGUUUCCCUUGAUUAUGCACCCUUUCAUUAAAUUGGGAGGUGGAAAGAAAUGGCUGUUUGUUUGAGGAUACCUUGCUUUGCCAUCUCUGGGCGGCUGAUGACUUUUUCCUUGCAGAGGAAAGCUCCUUGUCCCUCCUGCUCCUUUUUCCAAGCAAACACUAAGGCAGCAUCUUCUUGGUGCUGUGCUCUUUUUCUUGGUUCUUGCUUGUCUUCAGUCUGUAUAAAUGCACUGGCUGGUCUUGUUUGGCUCUGUUUCCAAGGGCAGUGUGACUGCUGCUUAUUGGCACAUGCUCUCAGUUUGUUGCAAUUUUGGCAAGAUUUAACUGCAUGGUCUGAACAGUUUUGUGCCAGGCAGGACUAAAGCUGAGUAUUUUUAGGAAAGAAUCAGUAUUUAAGGAAAGUAUCAUUUCUAUGGGCAGGGAAGAGGAGCAAAGCCUAUUAUUUGCGGUAUCUCUGCAAAGCAAGGUCCCCUCAUCUGGAGGGAUGAGAGCUUCUGGCAGGGAUGUGGCCUGCUGAAUGUCUGCUCUGUUUUGGACAGGUUUGGCUCAACUGAAGCAGCAAUUGUGGUAGCAGUCGGGGCAACAAGACCUCCUCUUAUAGCAAUGACGUUAGGACAGUAACAUCUCCCAUGUACUACGCUUCAGUCUCAAAGUCACUGCAAUGUCUUGAAUGCACGGAGAAGCAUAAGAGAGUAAUGAGGCUAAAUUAUGCCAGGAUCUGUGACAGGCAGAAAUAACUCCGAACAAUAUAACCACGCUCAAUUUGGA